rnacentral:rRNA from 1 species
GAUGAACGCUGGCGGCGUGCCUAAUACAUGCAAGUCGAGCGAACAGACGAGGAGCUUGCUCCUCUGACGUUAGCGGCGGACGGGUGAGUAACACGUGGAUAACCUACCUAUAAGACUGGGAUAACUUCGGGAAACCGGAGCUAAUACCGGAUAAUAUAUUGAACCGCAUGGUUCAAUAGUGAAAGACGGUUUUGCUGUCACUUAUAGAUGGAUCCGCGCCGCAUUAGCUAGUUGGUAAGGUAACGGCUUACCAAGGCAACGAUGCGUAGCCGACCUGAGAGGGUGAUCGGCCACACUGGAACUGAGACACGGUCCAGACGCCUACGGGAGGCAGCAGUAGGGAAUCUGCCGCAAUGGGCGAAAGCCUGACGGAGCAACGCCGCGUGAGUGAUGAAGGUCUUCGGAUCGUAAAACUCUGUUAUUAGGGAAGAGCAAAUGUGUAAGUAACUAUGCACGUCUUGACGGUACCUAAUCAGAAAGCCACGGCUAACUACGUG